AUCAGUUUUAGUAUAAUUUAAUUACAAUGGUCUUGUAAACCUUAAAUCUAAACUUUUAGAGGCUGAUU
rnacentral:tRNA from 1 species